rfam:Stegodyphus mimosarum contig41318, whole genome shotgun sequence.
GCCUUCGGGGUGUAGUGGUCAGUACGCUCGACGCCUAUUCGAGAGGUUCGGGGUUCCAGUCCCGGUGAGGGCA